rnacentral:rRNA from 1 species
GGUUUGAUUCUGGCUCAGAUGAAACGCUGACGGCACGCCUAACACAUGCAAGUCGAACGGGUAGCAAUACCCAGUGGCGCACGGGUGAGUAAGACGUAGGAAUCGACCUAAGGGUGGGGACAACCUAGGGAAACUUAGGCUAAUACCGCAUAAGACCGAAGGGUGAAAGCGUGGGACUCGAAGCCACGCGCCGAUAGCCGAGCCUACGGCGGAUUAGCUAGUUGGUAGGGUAACGGCUACCAAGGCGACGAUCCGUAGCGGGUCUGAGAGGACGAUCCGCCACACUGGGACUGAGAACGGCCCAGACUCCUACGGGAGGCAGCAGUGGGGAAUCUUGGACAAUGGGGGAAACCCUAUCCAGCGAUGCCGUGUGUGUGAAGAAGGCCUGCGGGUUGUAAAGCACUUUGGGUGGGGAGAAGGUAGCCGACGGACAAGGUUGGCGACUUGACGGUACCCACAGAACAAGCACCGACAACUCUGUGCCAGCAGCCGCGGUAAUACAGAGGGUGCGAGCGUUAAUCGGACUUACUGGCGUAAAGGGUGCGUAGGUGGCGGUUUAAGUCUGCUGUGAAAGCCCUGGGCUUAACCUGGAACGGCAGUGGAGACUGAACGGCUCGAGUGCCAGAGAGGAUCGUGGAACUCCCGGUGUACAGUGAAAUGCGUAGAGAUCGGGAAGAACACCCAUGGCGAAGGCAGCGAUCUGGCUGGAACUGACACUGAGGCACGAAAGCGUGGGGAGCAAACAGGAUUAGAUACCCUGGUAGUCCAGCCCUAAACGAUGAACACUAGAUGUGGGAAGGGCAACCUUUCCGUGUCGCCGCCAACGCAUAAGUGUUCCGCCUGGGGAGUACGGCCGCAAGGUUGAAACUCAAAUGAAUUGACGGGG